CCUAUUAAUAGGAUAGUAGCACUUGUCCUAUCAAAUUGUUCUUGAUGAUAGAGAUUCCGAAUCAAUGAUCGGAGCCGUUAAAGUUGAUCUAGAGUAUUUGAAAUAUCUAAAAACUAAAUUUUAUAAAUUUUAAAAAUUAUUUACGUGAUGAUCAAAGUAUCGUAAAAUUGACAAUUUUUGAUUGUCUAUAUGAGCCGCUUGCUUGUUUAACGGUGUAGAAUAAUCCAAAUUGGUUGAAUUUUUGAUAGAAAAUUCUUUAUACUAUUUAGAUAAUAUUUGAUAAUUCUGAUCAUGAUUUAAGAAAGUCUAACCUCUAUUUUAAGAAGGUUAUUCAUUUAUGACCGUUCAUUUUUUCGACUCUUCGAUAGACUUGAUAAUGAUUUUCAAAAAUUACAAAAUUCGGUUUUUAAAUAUUUCUUAUAGUGUAGAUCAAUUUCAACGGUGCCGAUUAUCAAUUUGGAGUGUCGAUCAUUCAAAACCAUUUGAUAGGACAAUGGUCCCAAUCCUAUUAAUAGCAUAGUAGCCGGACUCUAUAUAUAUAUAUAUAGUAUGAGGCUACUAUGCUUCUGGAAGCACGGAGCCUUUCGUGCUUUCAGAUCGUUUUCGAUGUUGCGACUUUCAAAUCAUCGAUCGGCUCCGUUAAAUUUGAUCUAGAGUAUUUGAAGUACCUAGAAAUUAAAUUUUAUGAUUUUUCGAUAUCAUUUGCCUAGUGAUCGAAUGGGCUCAAAAUCAAUAAUUUUAAUGGCCGUAGUGAACCGUUUGCAAGUUUAACGGUGUAGAAAUAUCCAAAUCACGUGAAAUUUUGAUAGAAAAUUUUUUAUACUAUAUAAAACAAGAUCAAUAUCUUUAGUCUAAAAUUUUAAUGUCAUAUUAUCACGUUUUGUAAGAUUUUUAUUUUUAACUGUUGAUUUUGAGUUCCUUCGUUCACUAGGCAAAUAAUAUCGAAAAAUCGCAUAAUUUAUUUUCUGGGUACUUCAAAUACUCUAAAUCAAGUCUAACGGAGCCAAUCGACGAUUCGAAAGUCGCAACAUGAAAAAUGACCUGGAAGCACGGAAGGCUCCGUGCUUCCAGAAGCAUAGUACCCUCACUCUAUAUAUCUAUAUAGAGUGCGUUUGGUAUGCUUCUGGAAGCACGGAGCGUUCCGUGCUUCCAAUUUGUUUUUGAUGUUCGGACUUUCGAAUUGACGAUCGGCUCCGUUAGACUUGAUCUAGAGUAUUUAAAGUAUCUAGAAAAUAAAUUUUGUGAUUUUUCGAUAUCAUUUGCCCAGUUAUCGAAGUCGCUCAAAAUCAACGGCUGAAAAUAAAAAUCUUACAAAAUAUGAUGAUAUGGCAUUAAAAUUUUAGAUCAAAGUUAUUGAUCUUGUUUUAUAUGGUAUAAAGAAUUUUCUAUCAAAAUUUCAUGUGAUUUGGAUAUUUCUACACAAUUAAACUUGCAAACGACUCACCACGUUGAUUUUGAGCCCCUUUGAUCACUAUGCAAAUGAUAUCGAAAAAUCGCAAAAUUUAUUUUCUAGAUACUUCAAAUACUCUAGAUCAACUCUAACGGAGCCGAUCGUCGAUUCGAAAGUCCGAACAUAGAAAACAACUUGGAAGUACAGAGGGCUCCAUGCUUCAAGAAGCAUACCAGCCCAUUAUGUAUAUAUAUAUAUAUUUAUAUAUAUAUAUAGAGAUCGGCUGGGAUACUAUCGAUAGCACUAAGGAUUUGGUGCUAUCGAGUUUUUCACCGUUAGAUUUAACCCUUUAAUUAUUUUUACAUGUUGGAUUAUACUAUUCAACCAACCACUCACUCAACCCUACAUCAUCGUAACCACGCAUUUCUCAAUCCAAUGGUUAAAAAAUGAAUAGCACCAAUAGCUUGUUGCUAUUGAUAGUAUUCCAGCCUAGUUAUAUAUAUAUAUAUAGAGAGAGAGAGAGAAAGAGAGAGAGAGAGAGAGAGAGUCCGGCUACUAUGCUAUUAAUAGCACGAAGCACUUGGUGCUACCAAGUUUUCCGCCGUUAGAUCUAUCAUUUUGAUCAUUUUCACCCGUUAGAUCAUACUAUUCAACCAACCACCCACUCAACCCUAGAGAGCCCACAUCAUCCUAACCGCACAUCUCUUAAUCCAAUGGCCAAAGACUUGGUAGCACCAAUGACUUGGUGCUAUUAAUAGCGUAGUAGCCUAGUUCUCUCUCUCUCUCUCUCUC
rnacentral:lncRNA from 1 species